UACAGAGGUCUCAAGCGUUGUUCGGAUUCAUUGGGCGUAAAGGGUGCGUAGGCGGCGCGGUAAGUCGGGUGUGAAAUCUCGGAGCUUAACUCCGAAACUGCAUUCGAUACUGCCGUGCUUGAGGACUGGAGAGGAGACUGGAAUUUACGGUGUAGCGGUGAAAUGCGCAGAUAUCAGGAGGAACACCGGUGGCGAAGGCGGGUCUCUGGGCAUUACCUGACGCUGAGGAGCGAAAGCAUGGGGGAGCGAACAGG
rnacentral:rRNA from 1 species